CUAGCAACAACUCAGAGGCAGGUAAAUCGAUGUUGUCUUUGCGAUGGACACAACAGCCACUUGGGAAUCAGCAAGCAGCUAAUUUGUGAGCAUAAGUCAAUGACUGUAACACAUGAGGAUCCAUCAGCUAAACUCUGUGGAGCGCAGAGGAGGCUGAGUAUGGACAUCAUUAAUGACCUCCGUAACUGUGGAGUGAAGCCUAUAUAGAAGUGCCAAAAACUGCAGUGCCUCAAACACCCACUUGAGGCUGGCAACAGAACAAAUAAAUCUCCACAAGCCCACAAGUUAAAAUGUCCAA